GAUGAACGCUGGCGGCGUGCCUAAUACAUGCAAGUCGAGCGAACGGACGAGAAGCUUGCUUCUCUGAUGUUAGCGGCGGACGGGUGAGUAACACGUGGAUAACCUACCUAUAAGACUGGGAUAACUUCGGGAGACCGGAGCUAAUACCGGAUAAUAUUUUGAACCGCAUGGUUCAAUAGUGAAAGACGGUUUUGCUGUCACUUAUAGAUGGAUCCGCGCUGCAUUAGCUAGUUGGUAAGGUAACGGCUUACCAAGGCAACGAUGCAUAGCCGACCUGAGAGGGUGAUCGGCCACACUGGAACUGAGACACGGUCCAGACUCCUACGGUAGGCAGCAGUAGGGAAUCUUCCGCAAUGGGCGAAAGCCUGACGGAGCAACGCCGCGUGAGUGAUGAAGGUCUUCGGAUCGUAAAACUCUGUUAUUAGGGAAGAACAUAUGUGUAAGUAACUGUGCACAUCUUGACGGUACCUAAUCAGAAAGCCACGGCUAACUACGUG
rnacentral:rRNA from 1 species